rnacentral:rRNA from 1 species
UACAGAGGGUGCGAGCGUUGUCCGGAAUCACUGGGCGUAAAGGGCGCGUAGGUGGUGGCUUAAGCGUGCGGUGAAAGCUCGGAGCUCAACUCCGAGUCGGCCGUGCGAACUGGGCUCACUGGAGCAUAGUAGAGGCAGGUGGAAUUCCGGGUGUAGCGGUGGAAUGCGUAGAGAUCCGGAAGAACACCGGCGGCGAAGGCGGCCUGCUGGGCUAUGGCUGACACUGAGGCGCGACAGCGUGGGGAGCAAACAGG